CUUCUUCCUUAGAUAUCUACACAGCAUGCCUAGCGUCUUCCGAUAUCAUUCAAGCCGAGUCUCCACCAGGCAUGCUUCCAUCCCUGUUUGAAGUGUAGUUAUUCUGGUAGUUUGACUGUGCACCUUGGUGAGGCAUGCCUCCAUUGUUGGGCCCAUUCUGAAAGUUAUGCUGCAUGUUCCCAGGCAUGUUAUUGGACCAUCCUGGACUUUGAGGCACUCCUCCCAUGUUAUUGGGAGGCAUGCCUCCAAAAUUGUUGUGAGGUAUUCCUCCCAUGUUUUGUGGCCCACCCAUAUAGUUGUUAGGAGGCGGCGGUGGUGGCCCACGCAUAUAGUUGUUAGGGGG
rnacentral:misc_RNA from 1 species